CCAUAUGGCGACAUAGAGCGGAACCCGAAAACCUAGUCUCAGUUCGGAUUGGAGUCUGCAACUCGACUCCAUGAAGCUGGAUUCGCUAGUAAUCGCGCAUCAGCCAUGGCGCGGUGAAUACGUUCCCGGGCCUUGUACACACCGCCCGUCAAGCCAUGGAAGCCGGGAGUGCCUGAAGUGCGUGAGCGCAAGCAGCGCCCUAAGGUAAAACCGGUGACUGGGGCUAAGUCGUAACAAGGUACC
rnacentral:rRNA from 1 species